GGCUACUGCUAUCGGGAUUCGAUUAAGCCAUGCGAGUCGAGAGGGUUCGGCCCUCGGCUGACGGCUCAGUAACACGUGGAUAACCUGCCCUCAGGUAGGGGAUAAUCUCGGGAAACUGAGGAUAAUACCCUAUAGACAUCCUUUGCUGGAAUGCUUGGAUGUUCAAAGGCGACGCCUGAGGAUGGGUCUGCGGCCUAUCAGGUUGUAGUAGGUGUAAUGGACCCACUAGCCUACGACGGGUACGGGCCUUGAAAGAGGUAGCCCGGAGAUGGACUCUGAGACACGAGUCCAGGCCCUACGGGGCGCAGCAGGCGCGAAAACUUCGCAAUGCGGGAAACCGUGACGAGGGAAUCCCGAGUGCUCAUGCAAUGCAUGGGCUUUUAUGAUGUGUAAAAAGCAUUAGGAAUAAGGGCUGGGUAAGACCGGUGCCAGCCGCCGCGGUAAUACCGGCAGCUCUAGUGGUAGCCACUUUUAUUGGGCCUAAAGCGUCCGUAGCCUGUCAGAUAAAUCCUUGGGUAAAUCGUACAGCUUAACUGUGCGGCUUCCGAGGAGACUGUCUGACUUGGGACCGGGAGAGGUUGGAGGUACUCCUGGGGUAGGGGUGAAAUCCUGUAAUCCUAGGUGGACCACCGGUGGCGAAGGCGUCCAACCAGAACGGCUCCGACGGUGAGGGACGAAGGCUAGGGGCGCAAACCGGAUUAGAUACCCGGGUAGUCCUAGCUGUAAACGCUGCAGACUUGGUGUUGGAGAUCCCACGAGGGUGUCCAGUGCCGGAGAGAAGUUGUUAAGUUUGCCGCCUGGGAAGUAUGGCCGCAAGGCUGAAAC
rnacentral:rRNA from 1 species